rnacentral:rRNA from 1 species
UUUGCCUACGGGGGGCAGCAGUGGGGGAUAUUGCACAAUGGGGGAAACCCUGAUGCAGCGACGCCGCGUGUGGGAAGACGGUCCUCUGGAUUGUAAACUACUGUCCCCAGGGACGAAGAUGACGGUACCUGGGGAGGAAGCUCCGGCUAACUACGUGCCAGCAGCCGCGGUAAUACGUAGGGGGCAAGCGUUAUCCGGAUUUACUGGGUGUAAAGGGAGCGUAGACGGCCAGACAAGUCUGAAGUGAAAAUCCAGCGCUUAACGUUGGAAGUGCUUUGGAGACUGCCGGGCGAGAGUGCAGGAGG